rnacentral:rRNA from 1 species
UACGUAGGGGGCAAGCGUUGUCCGGAUUUAUUGGGCGUAAAGAGCGUGUAGGCGGCCUGAGAGGUCAGCUGUGAAAACUCGAGGCUCAACCUCGAGACGUCGGUUGAAACCAUCUGGCUAGAGUCCGGAAGAGGAGAGUGGAAUUCCCGGUGUAGCGGUGAAAUGCGCAGAUAUCGGGAAGAACACCCGUGGCGAAGGCGGCUUUCUGGGACGGUACUGACGCUGAAACGCGAAAGCGUGGGGAGCGAACAGG